rnacentral:rRNA from 1 species
AUGAACGCUAGCGGCAGGCUUAAUACAUGCAAGUCGUGGGGCAGCAGGUUUGUAGCAAUACAGAUGCUGGCGACCGGCAAACGGGUGCGGAACACGUACGCAACCUUCCUCUUUCUGGAAGAUAGCCCACCGAAAGGUGGAUUAAUACUCCAUAAUAUAUUGAAGUGGCAUCACUUUAAUAUUAAAGCUCCGGCGGUAAGAGAUGGGCGUGCGUCUGAUUAGGUAGUUGGCGGGGUAACGGCCCACCAAGCCUGCGAUCAGUAGCUGAUGUGAGAGCAUGAUCAGCCACACGGGCACUGAGACACGGGCCCGACUCCUACGGGAGGCAGCAGUAAGGAAUAUUGGUCAAUGGACGCAAGUCUGAACCAGCCAUGCCGCGUGGAGGAUGACGGUCCUCUGGAUUGUAAACUUCUUUUCUCUGGGACGAAACCCCCGAUUUCUAUCGGGCCUGACGGUACCAGAGGAAUAAGCACCGGCUAACUCCGUG